ACCUAUACCCUUACUCUUCCUUUGUCAGUCAGGGGAAAACCAAAGGACUGACUAUAUUGCUAUUUCCCCUUGAGUUCUGGAGGGCUGCAUUCGUCCUGUACAACAACUCAUUCCCUCUUUUUGCCCUGAAUGUACUUCUAACAUGUACCAGACUUGCUCCUCACUCUCAGCUGUGGUGCUGACCCUAUUGGGGCCCCUGCUGUUAACACUGCUGAUAAUUGGUCACGAUUGGUGUUGAGGUGACAAGGUGGUGGACCUUCAAGACCUCCUAAAGUUCAGGUCUCCAGCUGCCACACAUCCUCAGAAAGGAGCAGGGGAGAGGGACCGGAGGGAGUAGGGAAGAAGAAACCGAGGAAUUGAGGAGGAAGGGGUGAGCGGUCAAGGCAUGAAAUGUGGAGAAAAGAGCUGGGAGGACAGUUCUGAAAAGGUGUUGGGAAGUCAGUGAGGUUAUGCAGGG